GGGACUGUAGCUCAAUAGUAGAGUACCUCGUUGACAUCGAGGGGGUAGUAGGAGCGUAACCUACCAGUCCCACCA
rnacentral:tRNA from 2 species